rnacentral:rRNA from 1 species
AUGUGGUUGUACCUGCUCGCGACCAAGGACGAGGCACAGCCAGCACUGAAGCGGUUCCAGGCCAUGGCGGAGCUCGAGUCCGGCUGGCAGCUCAAGGCGCUGCGCACGGACCGCGGCGGGGAAUUCACCUCCUCCAGCCUCGGUGAGUACUACGCCGACCAGGGAGUCCAGCGCCAGCUCACGGCGCCCUACACGCCUCAGCAGAAUGGCGUGGUCGAGCGCCGGAACCAGACCAUCGUGGGCAUGGCGCGCAGCCUGCUGAAGGCAAAGGGCGUGCCGGCACGGUUCUGGGGCGAGGCCGUAACGACGGCGGUCUACCUCCUGAACAGGUCAACAACGAAGAGUGUGGAGGGGUCGACCCCGCACGAGGCCUGGUGCGGGCGGCAUCCAAACGUCGAGCACCUGCGCGUGUUCGGGAGCGUCGCGCACGUCAAGGUGACACGCCCAAACCUGUCGAAACUUGAAGACAGGAGCACACCCAUGGUCUUCAUCGGCUACGAGCCGGGAUCGGCGGCUUAUCGCGUCUUCCACCCACCGUCGAAUCGCGUCCUGGUCUCGAGGGAUGUCGUGUUCGACGAGCAGGCCGCGUGGGACUGGACCCAGGUCGCGGCGACGAGCGAGGAGUCACAGUGGGACACGUUCUCCGUCGAGCUCGAACCAGUGCCCGACAAGAUGGUCGGCAGCACCCCAUCCGGUGCAUCAUCUCCUGAGGCGCCACGCUCACCAACAACGCCGUCAUCGUCGCGCACCAGUGCGCCCCCGCCGCGGCCCACGACGCCGAUCUGCGCUAUACCAAGCCCGGACCGCUCGGGCGUGGAGUUCGUGUCUCCACCUCCGGGGGCGUCUGUGCCGCCACCCGACAAGGAGGCGCUGCGGCGGUACCGCACGCUGGAGAACCUGUGGGACACCACUGAAGAAGGGACAGGUGAUAAUAGUCAGUACAGUUACCUGUGCCUCUUCGCAGGGGAGGAGCCAACCUCCUUCAACGAGGCGCAGAAGGAGGGAGGAUGGAGGAACGCCAUGAACGAGGAGAUGCAGAGCAUCGUCGACAACAACACAUGGGAGCUGUGCGAGCUCCCGCCCGGGCACCGACCGAUAGGCCUCAAGUGGGUCUACAAGCUCAAGAAGGACGCACACGGCACGGUGGUGAAGCGCAAGGCGCGGCUGGUGGCAAAGGGAUACGUCCAAGUCCAAGGAGUGGACUUCGAGGACGUGUUCGCUCCGGUGGCGCGCAUGGACUCGGUGCGCGUACUGGUCGCGCUCGCCGCGCACCACGCGUGUCCGGUUCAUCACAUGGACGUCAAGUCCGCCUUCUUGAACGGGGACUUGCAGGAGGAGGUCUACGUCGUUCAGCCGCCCGGGUACGUUACCCCUCGCGAGGAAGGGAAGGUGAUGCGCCUUCACAAGGCGCUGUACGGACUACGCCAAGCCCCGAGAGCUUGGAACGCCAAGCUGGACGAGAGUCUGCGCUCUCUGGGCUUUGAGCGUUGUCCCUCGGAGCACGCGGUCUACCGACGCGGGGAGGGCGACAAACUUCUGCUCGUCGGUGUGUACGUCGAUGAUCUUGUCAUCACGGGCGCGGACAAGACGGAGAUCGACGCGUUCAAGCACCAGAUGACCGCGCUCUUCCGCAUGAGCGACCUUGGUGAGCUCAGCUAUUACCUGGGCAUUGAGGUGCGCCAGGAACGCGACCGCAUCACGCUCUGCCAAGCAGCCUACGCGAAGAAGCUGCUGGAGCGCGCCGGGCUCGAGGACUGCAACCCCGGCAACGUGCCGAUAGAAGCUCGGCUGAAAUUGAGCAGAGACAGCAAGGAGAGGCCGGUGGACAGCUCAGAGUACCGCAGCAUCAUCGGAGGGUUGCGCUACCUCGUGCACACGAGGCCGGACAUCUCUUUCGCCGUCGGCUACCUGAGCUGCUUCAUGGAGGCGCCGGCUUCAGACCACUACGCGGCUGUGAAGCGUCUGCUAAGGUAUGUGGCAGGCACGCUGGACUACAGCUGUGCCUAUGUCCGGGGCAAGGGCACACCGGAGCUGCUGGGGUACAGCGACGCGGAUCACGCCGGCGACAUCAACGACAGGCGGAGCACAACGGGAGUGCUCUACUUCCUCGGCGGCAGCCCAGUGAGUUGGCAGUCGCAGAAACAAAGGGUGGUGGCACUCUCUUCAUGUGAGGCGGAGUAUGUGGCCGCCACCACCGCCGCUUGCCAGGGGAUUUGGCUGGCUCAGCUGAUCGGAGAGAUGCUGAACACCGACGUCCGGCCACCGCGACUUCUGGUCGACAACAAGUCAGCAAUCUCUCUCUCCAAGAACCCCGUCUUCCAUGAUCGAAGCAAACACAUUGAGAUACGAUACCACUUCAUUCGUGAGUGUGUGGAAGAAGGGCGGAUCGACAUCAACUACGUCUGCACCAACGAUCAGCUUGCCGACGUCCUCACCAAAGCACUUGGACGACUCAAGUUUCUGGAGCUCAGGGGAAGGAUUGGCAUGACAGAAAUAAUUCGGCAGCGACAAGAUUAG